CACAGGCUGGAGUGCAGUGGUGCGAUCUCGGCUCACUGCAAGCUCCGCCUUCCGGGUUCACGCCAUUCUCCUGCCUCAGCCUCCCGAGUAGCUGGGACUACUGGCUCCUGCCACCACGCCCGGCUAAUUUUUUGUAUUUUUUAAUAGAGACGGGGUUUCACCGUGUUAGCCAGGAUGGUCUCAAUCUCCUGACCUCUUGAUCCCCCUGCCUCGGCCUCCCAAAGUGCUGGGAUUACAGCCGUGAGCCACUGCGCCCGGCCUGUAGCAGUCUCCUGUGAGUCCUGGCUUUGAGCAAAAAUCACCAUCAGAGUCAUUUAUUGGUCGAGAGAAGAGGUCAAAUUCUCAAUCAUACAUUGGACGACCAAUUCAACUUGACAAGAUUUUGAUGUCUAAAGUUAAAGUGCCGCACACAUUUGUCAUCCACUCCUACACCCGGCCCACAGUGUGCCAGUACUGCAAGAAGCUUCUGAAGGGGCUUUUCAGGCAGGGCUUGCAGUGCAAAGAUUGCAGAUUCAACUGCCAUAAACGUUGUGCACCAAAAGUACCA
rnacentral:sRNA from 1 species